rnacentral:rRNA from 1 species
AGCUCAACUCUGGAACUGCCAACCAAAAUUUUUUAACUAGAGUAGUGAUAGAGGUAAGUGGAAAUUUCGUAGUGUAGAGGUGAAAUUCGUAGAUAUUAGAAAGAUACCAAUUGCGAAGGCAGCUUUCUGGAUCAUUACUGACACUGAGGAACGAAAGCGAUGGGUAGCGAAGAGGAUUACGAUACCUCGUAGUCCAUGCCGUAAACGAUGUGUGUUAGACGUUGGAAAUUUAUUUUCAGUGUCGCAGCGAAAGCGAUAAACACACCGCCUGGGGAGUACGACCGCAAGGUUAAAACUCAAAUGAAUUGACGGGGACCCGCACAAGUAGUGGAGCAUGUGGUUUAAUUCGAAGAUACGCGCAGAACCUUACCAACACUUGACAUGUUCGUUCGCGACUCUAAGAGAUUAGAGUUUUCGGUUCGGCCGGACGAAACACAGGUGCUGCAUGGCU